rnacentral:rRNA from 1 species
GACGAACGCUGGCGGCGUGCCUAAUACAUGCAAGUAGAACGCUGAAGGAGGAGCUUGCUUCUCUGGAUGAGUUGCGAACGGGUGAGUAACGCGUAGGUAACCUGCCUGGUAGCGGGGGAUAACUAUUGGAAACGAUAGCUAAUACCGCAUAAGAGUAGAUGUCGCAUGACAUUUGCUUAAAAGGUGCAAUUGCAUCACUACCAGAUGGACCUGCGUUGUAUUAGCUAGUUGGUGAGGUAACGGCUCACCAAGGCAACGAUACAUAGCCGACCUGAGAGGGUGAUCGGCCACACUGGGACGGAGACACGGCCCAGACUGCUACGGGAGGCAGCAGUAGGGAAUCUUCGGCAAUGGACGGAAGUCUGACCGAGCAACGCCGCGUGAGUGAAGAAGGUUUUCGGAUCGUAAAGCUCUGUUGUAAGAGAAGAACGAGUGUGAGAGUGGAAAGUUCACACUGUGACGGUAUCUUACCAGAAAGGGACGGCUAACUACGUG